GACGAACGCUGGCGGCGUGCCUAAUACAUGCAAGUCGAGCGAAGUUUUUCUGGUGCUUGCGCUAGAAAAACUUAGCGGCGAACGGGUGAGUAACACGUAAAGAACCUGCCUCAUAGACUGGGACAACUAUUGGAAACGAUAGCUAAUACCGGAUAACAGUAUUUCUCGCAUGAGAGAUAUUUAAAAGUUGGUUAUGCUAACACUAUGAUAUGGCUUUGCGGUGCAUUAGCUAGUUGGUGGGGUAAAGGCCCACCAAGGCGACGAUGCAUAGCCGACCUGAGAGGGUGAUCGGCCACACUGGGACUGAGACACGGCCCAGACUCCUACGGGAGGCAGCAGUAGGGAAUCUUCCGCAAUGGGCGAAAGCCUGACGGAGCAACGCCGCGUGAGUGAAGAAGGAUUUCGGUUCGUAAAGCUCUGUUGUUAGGGAAGAAUGGAUAUGUAGUAACUAUACAUGUAAGAGACGGUACCUAACCAGAAAGCCACGGCUAACUACGUG
rnacentral:rRNA from 1 species